rnacentral:tRNA from 1 species
CGCCCGGUGGUGAAACCGUAUCGCGGCCGGCCUACACCCGGCAGUCGAGGGUGCGACUCCUUCCCGGGCGACCC